AUUGAACGCUGGCGGCAUGCUUUACACAUGCAAGUCGAACGGCAGCGCGGGCUUCGGCCUGGCGGCGAGUGGCGAACGGGUGAGUAAUACAUCGGAACGUGCCCAGUAGUGGGGUAUAGCUCGGCGAAAGCCGGAUUAAUACCGCAUACGACCUGAGGGUGAAAGCGGGGGAUCUUCGGACCUUGCGCUAUUGGAGCGGCCGAUGGCCGAUUAGCUAGUUGGUGGGGUAAAGGCCUACCAAGGCGACGAUCUGUAGCUGGUCUGAGAGGACGACCAGCCACACUGGGACUGAGACACGGCCCAGACUCCUACGGGAGGCAGCAGUGGGGAAUUUUGGACAAUGGGCGAAAGCCUGAUCCAGCAAUGCCGCGUGUGUGAUGAAGGCCUUCGGGUUGUAAAGCACUUUUGGCGGGAACGAAAAGGACUGUGCCAAUACCACGGUUCGAUGACGGUACCCGCAGAAUAAGCACCGGCUAACUACGUG
rnacentral:rRNA from 1 species